rnacentral:rRNA from 1 species
GAUCUCCCACCCUAUGUUUUAUUACCUUUGUUGCUUUGGCGGGCCGCCUGGCUCCGGUAAGGCUAUCGGCUUCGGCUGGUAAGCGCCCGCCAGAGGACCCAAUAUCCUGAUUAUUAGUGUCGUCUGACUACUAUAUAAUAGUUAAAACUUUCUACAACGGAUCUCUUGGUUCUGGCAUCGAUGAAAAACGCAACGAAAUGCGAUAAUUAAUGUGAAUUGCAGAAUUCAGUGAAUCAUCGAAUCUUUGAACGCACAUUGCGCCCCUUGGUAUUCCAAGGGGCAUGCCUGUUCGAGCGUCAUUACAACCCUCAAGCAUUGCUUGGCAUUGGGCUCCGCUGCUCACCUAGCGGGCCUUAAAAUCAGUGGCGGAGCCUUCGGGCCCUGAGCGUAGUAAAUCUCCUCCCUACAGGGACCCGGUGGACGCUGGCCAUCAACCCCUCACUUACUAAGUUUGACCUCAGAUCAAGUAUGGAUACCAGCAGAACUUAAACAUAUCAUUAACCGGAGGAA